rnacentral:snRNA from 1 species
AAGUGUUACAGCUCUUUUACUAUUUGUCUAGCAGCAGGUUCUUAUUCUGUAGGAGCCACACU